GCGGUAAAAGCUCAAAUUUGAAAUCUGGUACUUUCAGUGCCCGAGUUGUAAUUUGUAGAAUUUGUCUUUGAUUAGGUCCUUGUCUAUGUUCCUUGGAACAGGACGUCAUAGAGGGUGAGAAUCCCGUUUGGCGAGGAUACCUUUUCUCUGUAAGACUUUUUCGAAGAGUCGAGUUGUUUGGGAAUGCAGCUCAAAGUGGGUGGUAAAUUCCAUCUAAAGCUAAAUAUUGGCGAGAGACCGAUAGCGAACAAGUACAGUGAUGGAAAGAUGAAAAGAACUUUGAAAAGAGAGUGAAAAAGUACGUGAAAUUGUUGAAAGGGAAGGGCAUUUGAUCAGACAUGGUGUUUUUUUAAUGUGCAAGUCUCUCGUGGACAUGUGCCUCUGGAAAUUAACACUGGGCCAACAUCAGUUCUGGCGGCAGGAUAAAUCAUUAAGAAUGUAGCUACCUCGGUAGUGUUAUAGCUUUUUGGAAUACUGCCAGCUGGGAUUGAGGACUGCGCUUCGGCAAGGAUGUUGGCAUAAUGGUUAAAUGCCGCCCGUCU
rnacentral:rRNA from 1 species